AAGGGAGCGUAGGCGGACUUGUAAGUCAGUGGUGAAAUCUGUGGGCUUAACCCACAAACUGCCAUUGAUACUGCAGGUCUAGAGUACAGUUGCCGUUGGCGGAAUAUGACAUGUAGUGGUGAAAUACUUAGAUAUGUCAUAGAACACCGAUUGCGAAGGCAGCUAACGAAGCUGUAACUGACGCUGAGGCUCGAAAGUGCGGGGAUCAAACAGGAUUAGAUACCCUGGUAGUCCGCACUGUAAACGAUGAUUACUCGUUGCUGGGGAGCAAUUUCCAGUGACCAAGCGAAAGCGAUAAGUAAUCCACCUGGGGAGUACGCCGGCAACGGUGAAACUCAAAGGAAUUGACGGGGGCCCGCACAAGCGGAGGAGCAUGUGGUUUAAUUCGAUGAUACGCGAGGAACCUUAUCCAGGGCUUGAAAGUUAGGGAAUACUCCUGAAAGGGAGUAGUCAGCAAUGACCCGAAACUAGGUGCUGCAUGGCUGUCGUCAGCUCGUGCCGUGAGGUGUUGGGUUAAGUCCCGCAACGGGCGCAACCCCUACCAUUAGUUGCUAACAGGUUAUGCUGAGGACUCUAGUGGAACUGCCCGUGCAAACGGAGAGGAAGGUGGGGACGACGUCAAGUCAUCACGGCCCUUACGUCCUGGGCUACACACGUGCUACAAUGGUUAUUACAGAGGGCAGCUACAUAGUAAUAUGAUGCAAAUCUUUGAAAAAUAAUCUCAGUUCGGAUUGGGGUCUGCAACUCGACCUCAUGAAGCUGGAUUCGCUAGU
rnacentral:rRNA from 1 species